GUACAGUCCAUGAGCCCCAAUAUAUAGUCCAUUUAGAGGGUCUGAAGACGUUGAUAUUUCAAUCUGGUGGAAAGUUGGUGAUCCAGACAGUGGCUUGUGGUUUUGAGCUUGAGUAAGGGUAAAAUUUAUUAAGUCACCAACAUCUUUCAGCAACUGCACAGAUGAAGCAAAAGAAAUCAAACGAACCGUUCAUCGUAAUAGAUUUAACAAAUAGUUGAUCUCUUGUUUACCAAAGGUACACAGAGAUGUGACCUGCAGAAAACUGAACCAACCUUCAAGGGCAUCUGUUACAUAGCAAAAUCUCAGA
rnacentral:misc_RNA from 1 species